CAGCCCCCCGGGGGUCCCCUCGGCCCCGGCCCCCCCCCAGCCCGGCCCGGCCCCGCUCGCACCUGGUAGCGGCGGCGGCCGGAGCGCCGGUGCCCGGUCCCGGCACAUCGCGGCCCCGGCCUGCUCCCCGCUCCGCUACGGGCUCAGCUGCCUGCCCGGGCCGGAAGCCCCGCGCCCCGCGCUCCUCGGGACUUGUAGUCCUGCCCUCCAGCCUUCCGCCGGCUCCUGACGAGCCUUGGUGACGUUAGGACUACAAUUCCCAGAAGCCCUCGCCGCCCCGCGCUGGUUGGCGCGUCUCCGGUCAGUCUAUGCUACAACCACUGUUGCUACUGGCCUCGCUCUUCCUCCUCCAGGGGGCCAAUCGGAAGGCGGAAGAGCACCACCUCGGGCCACGCUACGCCGCGCGGCGCCAUUGGAGCGAGGGCGCAGCAGCGACCAAUGAGCGCCGGGAGAGGUGGGGUGGCGAUCACCCCAACUGCUCGCGAUUGGCUGUGCCUGCAGGGAGGCUGCCCAAUGGCGACGCGGGGGGGGAGCCUAUAAAGGCUCCAGCGAGAGCACGCGCUGGCCUUUCCAAUGGCGAGGGCGCGGCGGGAACCGGCUCGGACCGGCGGGCGCCGCCCGCGGGCGGCCCGAGGGACGGCGAGGCGGGAGCGGAGAGCGGCGCAGCGCGGGGCGGCCGGGGCUGGCGCCGGCUCCCCUCCGGGCCCUACCUGAGCCCGGGCAGCGGCGACGACUCGUUCAUAGAGUUGAGCUGGUAAAACGCGGUAUUUUCGGCCCGUCUCGAGCUCACAACGCUGGGAAGCGGUACUGAAGCACACGCGGGGGGACUGUUCGCCUGUAAGUUACUUCAGGGAAGUUACAGCUGUAGGGAAAGCCCGAGUGGAUUUCAGGACAAAUGAAAGCGGGAAGCUGUGGCUGGAAUAACUACUUCGUGGCCUUAAAAUACUUGUUAUUCUAUGCGUAGCGUAGGCUGGGAGCUCCGGAGCAGAACAAGUGAUGCAGAUCUGCAUACAGCUUAAAAAUACACUGGGCAAAAAGAGGGUUUCCUCUAGGGUUGCUGUAUCAAGCAGUGAGCUGCUGGUUUUGAUCCUGUACAGUUUGGGGCUCAGGGCAGUUUCUAAACACAAAGAAGUAGCUGCAAAACUGCCCAAAAUACAAGCAGUCAAAAGCAAUUGUUGUCAAUGAGCGAGUGGCUUAAGGCAAAAGGAAUGGCAGGUAGGGGAUGCAAAAAUGUGCGUAAGUGAAAGAAUUCAUAGGCAGCAGUUUUCACAGUGUGUGUGGACACUAGUACUAGACUGUUGUGUGGAUACUUCUAAUCCAUAUCUGGGAGUCCUUGGUACUAACCAGCUGCUUUGGGACUAUUAUGAGCUGCUCAGGUACUGUUUUUUCCCAGUUGUUUGCUGCUGUGUUUCUAAUUUGGCUUCUGUAUAAGGCUAAUUUUACAGCUUUAAGUUUUAAUAAAGUUUUCAAUAAAGU
rnacentral:lncRNA from 1 species